rnacentral:rRNA from 1 species
CCUGAUGCAGCAACGCCGCGUGAACGAUGAAGGUCUUCGGAUCGUAAAGUUCUGUUGCAGGGGAAGAUAAUGACGGUACCCUGUGAGGAAGCCCCGGCUAACUACGUGCCAGCAGCCGCGGUAAUGCGUAGGGGGCUAGCGUUAUCCGGAUUUACUGGGCGUAAAGGGUGCGUAGGUGGUCCUUCAAGUCGGUGGUUAAAGGCUACGGCUCAACCGUAGUAAGCCGCCGAAACUGGAGGACUUGAGUGCAGGAGAGGAAAGUGGAAUUCCCAGUGUAGCGGUGAAAUGCGUAGAUAUUGGGAGGAACACCAGUAGCGAAGGCGGCUUUCUGGACUGCAACUGACACUGAGGCACGAAAGCGUGGGUAGCAAACAGGAUUAGAUACCCUGGUAGUCCACGCUGUAAACGAUGAGUACUAGGUGUCGGGGGUUACCCCCCUCGGUGCCGCAGCUAACGCAUUAAGUACUCCGCCUGGGGAGUACGCACGCAAGUGUGAAACUCAAAGGAAUUGACGGGGACCCGCACAAGUAGCGGAGCAUGUGGUUUAAUUCGAAGCAACGCGAAGAACCUUACCUAAGCUGACAUCC